GACGAGCCACACAAACGUUAUUCGGAAUUACUGGGCUUAAAGGGUGCGUAGGCGGCGCGGAAAGUUGGGUGUGAAAUCCCUCGGCUCAACCGAGGAAUGGCGCUCAAAACUACCGUGCUCGAGGGAGAUAGAGGAGUGCGGAACUUACGGUGGAGCGGUGAAAUGCGUUGAUAUCGUAGGGAACACCGGUGGCGAAAGCGGCACUCUGGAUCUCUUCUGACGCUGAUGCACGAAAGCUAGGGUGGCGAACGGG
rnacentral:rRNA from 1 species